rnacentral:lncRNA from 1 species
UUUAUCGUGAUAUCGUCGUAAGUGGACGUGCGCGCGCUCCUCCGCUCGCCCCCUUCAGUAAAGUGUUUUUGUGAAUUUCUCUCUUUAUUAUCCAAGUCUUUAAUAUCCAAGAAUUGAUGCACGUGCGUGGAUCCUAAUUAGGCCUAUCGCUCUCCUCGGGGGCAUAUAAAGGACGGCGCCACGGAUAAGACGUGUUAACAAGAACAACACAGAUGUUUUUGUAAGUUAGAAAGUUUAGAAAGAAAACCUUAUUUCCAGGCCAAGUUUUAUUUGUUUUUGUUUGUUUUUUUGCCGAAAGUGCUGGAUGAUUCAAUAAAUUCCUUCGCUCCUGCUCUUCGACUCAAGGAGGAAGAGGGAAGAGGAGAAAAUAAUUAAAAAGAGGAGAGAAAACCGGGAGGAGGAGAGAUAGAACAGAAAAAUAAUAUCCGGAGGAGAGAGAGAAGUAAUAAAAAUAUCCUUAACGAGCAACGUUUAAGGUACUUGAACUUGUCCGCGCGUGUUGGCACGAUGAAAUUCUCUUAACAGCUGGUAAUUUCCAGUGAACUUUCCUUCGGAGAGAAACGAAACGGUAAGAGAACGAAACAGGAACUUCGCGAGAGGAAGGACAAUAAAGAAGAGAAGUGGAAA